CGUGGGCAACCUGGCCUGUACAGGGGGAUAACACAGUGAAAAUUGUGCUAAUACCGCAUAAUGCAGUUGAGUCGCAUGGCUCUGACUGCCAAAGAUUUAUCGCUCUGGGAUGGACUCGCGUCUGAUUAGCUGGUUGGUGGGGUAACGGCCCACCAAGGCGACGAUCAGUAGCCGGACUGAGAGGUUGGCCGGCCACAUUGGGACUGAGACACGGCCCAGACUCCUACGGAAGGCAGCAG
rnacentral:rRNA from 1 species